rnacentral:rRNA from 1 species
UACGUAGGGUGCGAGCGUUGUCCGGAUUUAUUGGGCGUAAAGGGCUCGUAGGCGGCCUGUCGCGUCGGGAGUGAAAGCCCACUGCUUAACGGUGGGUCUGCUUCCGGUACGGGCGGGCUGGAGUAUGGCAGGGGAGACUGGAAUUCCUGGUGUAGCGGCGGAAUGCGCAGAUAUCAGGAGGAACACCGGUUGGGAAGGCGACCCGCUUGGCCGUACCUGGCACUGGUGCCCGGCAGCAUGGGGAGCAAACAGG